rnacentral:rRNA from 1 species
UCGAACGCGAAAGUUCCCUUCGGGGGAUGAGUAGAGUGGCGCACGGGUGAGUAACACGUAGGUAAUCUACCUUUGGAUGGGGAAUAACAACCGGAAACGGUUGCUAAUACCGCAUAAUGCAGCGGCACCUAAUGGUGACAGUUGUUAAAGCGGGGGAUCGAAAGACCUCGCGUCUGAAGAGGAGCCUGCGGCGGAUUAGCUAGUUGGUAGGGUAACGGCCUACCAAGGCUACGAUCCGUAGCCGGCCUGAGAGGGCGGUCGGCCACACUGACACUGACAUACGGGUCAGACUCCUACGGGAGGCAGCAGUCGGGAAUUUUGGGCAAUGGGCGAAAGCCUGACCCAGCAACGCCGCGUGAAGGAUGAAAUCCCUCGGGAUGUAAACUUCGCAAGAACGGGAAGAAUAAGUAGGGGACAAUACCCCCUAUGAUGACGGUACCGUUUGUAAGCUCCGGCUAACUCCGUGCCAGCAGCCGCGGUAAUACGGGGGGAGCAAGCGUUGUUCGGAUUUACUGGGCGUAAAGGGCGCGUAGGCGGCCAGUGCAAGUCAGUUGUGAAAUCUCCGAGCUUAACUCGGAAAGGUCAACUGAUACUGCUCGGCUAGAGUGCGGAAGGGGCAACUGGAAUUCUUGGUGUAGCGGUGAAAUGCGUAGAUAUCAAGAGGAACACCUGCGGCGAAGGCGGGUUGCUGGGCCGACACUGACGCUGAGGCGCGAAAGCUAGGGGAGCGAACGGGAUUAGAUACCCCGGUAGUCCUAGCCUUAAACGAUGAAUGCUUG